AACGAACGCUGGCGGCAGGCCUAACACAUGCAAGUCGAGCGCCCCGCAAGGGGAGCGGCGGACGGGUGAGUAACGCGUGGGAACGUACCCUUUGCUACGGAAUAGCCUCGGGAAACUGGGAGUAAUACCGUAUGUGCCCUUCGGGGGAAAGAUUUAUCGGCAAAGGAUCGGCCCGCGUUGGAUUAGGUAGUUGGUGGGGUAAUGGCCUACCAAGCCGACGAUCCAUAGCUGGUUUGAGAGGAUGAUCAGCCACACUGGGACUGAGACACGGCCCAGACUCCUACGGGAGGCAGCAGUGGGGAACCUUAGACAAUGGGCGCAAGCCUGAUCUAGCCAUGCCGCGUGAGCGAUGAAGGCCUUAGGGUUGUAAAGCUCUUUCAGUGGGGAAGAUAAUGACUGUACCCACAGAAGAAGCCCCGGCUAACUCCGUGCCAGCAGCCGCGGUAAUGUACAGUGU
rnacentral:rRNA from 1 species